rnacentral:rRNA from 1 species
UCCUACGGGAGGCAGCAGUGGGGAAUAUUGCGCAAUGGGGGAAACCCUGACGCAGCAACGCCGCGUGAGUGAAGAAGGCCUUCGGGUUGUAAAGCUCUUUAAUCAGGGACGAAGAAUGACGGUACCUGAAGAAAAAGCAUCGGCUAACUCCGUGCCAGCAGCCGCGGUAAUACGGAGGAUGCGAGCGUUAUCCGGAUUUAUUGGGUUUAAAGGGUGCGUAGGCGGAAUGCCAAGUCAGCGGUAAAAUCGCGGGGCUCAACCUCGCUCCGCCGUUGAAACUGGCGUUCUUGAGUGGGCGAGAAGUA